ensembl:lncRNA
AUGCAAUGCAGAUUAUUAUAUAGCACAGAGUUGAAUAAUUAUCCAAUGUCCUGCUAUAUAAACCAUAAAUGUAUUAAUUAUUUAGUAAUUUGUGUUAAAGUCAACAACACAGAAUCAGGGAAGUCUUUGUGCUUGGGAGCUUUUUUAAAUGUGUUUUUGAAGCUGACCUUUGGCAGGUCAACACAGCUCCACAUUCAGGACAGUGACCCUAGUGAGAGCAACUGUAGAACUAGUUUUCUACCAUUUUUUUGUUUUUCCUCACCGUUUGGGUGACCUGCUUUGGCUACCAGUGAACAUUUAUAAGUCAGUGACUAAUUUCACAGUUUAAGAUGUCAACCCUCUUACCUUAAGAAUUAAUUAUUGAAAAAAUUUUCAUAUUCAGAAAGAUUUCAUGAUCUUAAAGCAAGACAGUGUAACUUGAAGAACAUUGUGUUGGUUGUGCUUCGACUCUGCAGGGAUGAAUUUGAUUAGGAAAUGUAAAAAAGAUGUGAUUGGGGUGGUUAAGACUUAUGCUGUUGAUUUGAGUAAUUGGAAUCAUUGAGGCUUUUAAAUGAAUGACGUACAAAAGUUUACAAGUUGUCGGCUCUGAGCCUCAGACCUCAAAGGCAACCAAAACACAGGCUUAAGAGGGAAUCAGUUUAGAUGAAAAGGGUCGUAAGUUAACUAAUUAGACAGCUGAAGAUGUUGUUCUUUUUUGCCAAAAAACAUUAGGAUAUUAAGUAAAGAUCAUUCCUACUGUAAAUAUAUCAAAACCUAAAUUUGAUUUGUAAUAUGCAUUGCUAGGGACUUCAUUUGGACAACUUUAAAUUAGAUUUUCUCAAUAUUUAGAUUGUUUUGGACCCUUAGAUUCCAGAUCUUCAAAUAGUUGUAUCUCGGCCAAAUAAUGUUCUAUUCUAACAAACCAUACAUCAAUGGAAUCCUAAUUUUUCAGCUUUCACAAAUUUUUUUUGUGAUGUGGUCCAGGUUCACAUUUGAAUCUGAAUCGGUCAUGUGGAUCAAGCCGUAGCUCUCUGAACAUUCUGAACUUACAAUUUGUAAUCACGAGUCAAGUUCUGGAGCAUGUGAGUGCUUUGGCGUUGAUAGUGUUGCCAUAGAAAAGCAUAAUUCAGAGUACAGGUAUAAUGUCACAUGUUGACAUCCUAGAAUUAUGGUACUUAUGACAUGUUAUGAAUGCAUCUAUGACUAUGACAAACUUUAAAAUAAAAGACAUGAUAACAUGAACUUAAACAAAUCCUAAAACAGAUGUGACAAAACGUUUUCUACAUAAAUUGAGAGCAGCAGAUUAUUUACUCUUACAAAAAAUAAGUCAACAUAUAUUAUCCAAGUAUAUUUUAUGCGGUAAGCAUGCUAAAAAGUGACGUAAAAUACAGCCAAUUAUGGUGACCCAUAAUCAGAACUCAUGCUCUGCAUUUAAUCCAUCCAAAGUGCACAAACACAGCAGUGAACACACACCCGGAGCAGUGGGCAGCCAUUUAUGCUGCGGCGCCCGCGGAGCAGUUGGGGGUUCGGUGCAUUGCUCAAGGGCACCUCAGUUGUGGUAUUGCCGGCCUGAGACUCAAACCCACAACCUUAGGGUUAGGAGUCAAACUCUCUAACCAUUAGACCACGAUAACCCCCACGACUUUAAGUGAAAAUAUAUAUAUAAAUAUAUAUAUAUAUAUAUAUAUAUAUAUAUAUAUAUAUAUAUAUAUAUAUGUAUAUGUAUAUAUAUAUAUAUGUUAUAUAUAUAUAUAUAUACUUGAAUUUUACUGUACCUUUUAUUACUUUAAUAGACUAAACCCCUAUGUACACUAACUGUAGAUUAAUGCCCGUGGUUUAUUUAUUACACAAAGAGACUUUAUUGUUUUGUGAUGAGAUUUAAAAUGAUAUAUUCUAGUAAUUGCUUAUAAUAAAAGCCAGUAGCCUAUGAAACACGUCUGUUACAAUAAUGUUACACCUUGUAAAAAAUCUCAAUAAAAUCAGCCAAAUGAGUUUUUGUGUAGUUUAACUGCAUUGCAUGCAUAAACACAUGCAUGUGUCAUAAGGCAGUUUUUAGAAAGCAUGAUACAUAACCAGUUAUGUGAAUAUAUACAGUUAAACACAUGAGAUCCCCCUCAUAUUCCAUCAUGCAACACUAGCCCAGCCCCCCCACACGCCAUGUAUGCUAUGAACAUAUGGUAAAACGCUGCAGUCAUCCUGCAUAUGGUCACCAUGAGAUUCAUGCACUCUCUGCCUCUCUCUGUAAGACUGGUGCAAAGUAAAACCAGCAAAAAAUAAACAGUGAAAAGAAAGAGGUGUAAAAAAAAAAAAAAUCAACCUUUCAUACAAUAACAAGCCAUGUCAGCCAUUUUGAGUGACAAAUCAGCAUGGUGCAUGGCACAGGUUUCCCGAACGGUGGAGGAAGGAUCUGACAGCCGUUUGAAAACGUCCUCAGAGAACGA